rnacentral:misc_RNA from 1 species
GUGAAUCAUCAAAUCUUUGAACGCAAAUUGCACUCUCUGGUAUUCCGGAGAGUAUGCCUGUUUGAGGGUCAGUUUUAAUAAAAAUCGGUGUGGGUUCUGCCUUGCUUGUUGACGCACCGGAUGUGGGUCGUCUGGCCUUCAGUGAAGGGACCUAGAAUUUUUCGUGAUUGUUUGCGAACGUAUUUAAAUGAUUUUACGUACGUUUGCGAUAUCGGAUACUAGGUGUGGUCAUCCUCAUGAUUUGAGCCUAGAAUUUUUCAGCAAAAUGACCUCAAAUCAGGUAAGAGUACCCGCGAA